GUACAAAGUACUCACGAAGGAAAAUGCUGUCCACAUCCAGAAAUGAUCAAUGGAGCCAGCAGUGCAAGCUUGAUGACCUGAGGCCAAAACGCCGUCCUCCACAAAAAGAACUUGGACCAAACUCAAGAAAGUGCUCAGUGCACCAAAUCUCUCAGCAGGGCCAGAUGUCUCAAGUCAAAGCAGAGCCUCAAUCGAGCUCUUGCUCCAUAUCAGCAUCCUAGAGCACAAAGUGCCAUAACCUGGAUUCAAACCAAGACUGAAGUUGUUUUGUAUGUGCUUUGUAUGUUAUGCUGAUGAGUACAUGAAGGGAGACGUGGCUCCUAAUGGCUGAGAAAAUGCUGAAUGCAAUGCUACUAUAAUUGGUUCCCAAGAUUCUUUGAAGAGAGAUAUGAAGAAAGAAGAGAGAUUUUUGAAUGACAGACUAGAGCAGUUGGAAUCUCAGAUGUGUAGGAGGACUGACCCCAUCAUGCUUCUUGACCUUUAGGUUUGAGAUAGUAGAGAUGGCUGAGACAGGACCUCCCCUGGGUGAGAUUGCUCACCUUCUCCUAGUCCAAACUGAGAUCUUAUUGAACUCCUUGCUAAACUUGCUCUGUGUUCUUUUGUAGAAUUUCUCUGAUUUUUUUUUGUUGUUUUGCUUGCAUAAAUGUGUUUACUCAAUAUUCGCUAUCUGGGGGUAAUCAUUUGUUUAACCUGUGGGAAGGGGCUAGGUUCUUGAGUUUAAGCUAAAGGCUGGUCUUCCCCUUAAGAGUAACAAAGGAAAUGACCUUUCUUCUGAACCCAACUCAGAUUCCUAGAACAGAGAGAUUUGAGGGAUGACAGGUAGAUAUGAUUCUAGCCCAACACCUGUCCUGGAGAUAGGAGGGCUUGCCACCACAGCAGUCCUGGACCCUGCCUUCCCCUCUUCCAGCUAGCAUGGUAGCAGUUUACUUAAGCCCUUCUCUUACUCUCCUCAGAGGAGACCUAGACCUCAAAUCAUAUCUAACCAGGUCACUCGAGCUGCAUCUAUGUAUUUGGAAAACUUAUACACACAUAUCUUAUGCUACUAGACUGAAACCGUUUGAAGAUAAAAAAUAUAUCUUACCAAUUAACAAGCAUUUUUUAAGCACCUACUAUGUA